rnacentral:rRNA from 1 species
GACGAACGCUGGCGGCGUGCUUAACACAUGCAAGUCGAACGGAAAGGCCCUGCUUUUGUGGGGUGCUCGAGUGGCGAACGGGUGAGUAACACGUGAGUAACUGCCCUUGACUUUGGGAUAACUUCAGGAAACUGGGGCUAAUACCGGAUAGGAGCUCCUGCUGCAUGGUGGGGGUUGGAAAGUUUCGGCGGUUGGGGAUGGACUCGCGGCUUAUCAGCUUGUUGGUGGGGUAGUGGCUUACCAAGGCUUUGACGGGUAGCCGGCCUGAGAGGGUGACCGGCCACAUUGGGACUGAGAUACGGCCCAGACUCCUACGGGAGGCAGCAGUGGGGAAUAUUGCACAAUGGGCGGAAGCCUGAUGCAGCAACGCCGCGUGCGGGAUGACGGCCUUCGGGUUGUAAACCGCUUUCGCCUGUGACGAAGCGUGAGUGACGGUAAUGGGUAAAGAAGCACCGGCUAACUACGUG